UUUUCCCCCUCUUUGUGCCUGUAAGAGAACCGUAACUGGAAGUCUUCUAUUCUUGUGGGGGAGCUGGCACCAGAAGGAAGUUCAGAAUGCCAAGCACGGUCCUGGAAAUGAGCGACUAAAAGGAAGGAAAGGGGACACAGACUCCUGGAACACUCAGAACUCGCUAAGGAGGGGAAUUUGCAGACCAGCUGCAGCCCGUCCCGUGGUGGUUCUCUGCUUCUUUGCAUCUUAAUCUCCCUGGGCUUGGACCACGCGAUCUGGUGCAGGAUUCAGGUCAGCAGGCACUGUUCUCUGUUCGUUUAACAUACGCAACGCUUGUUUCCACAACGCCCAGCUCAGCGCGGACACAGCAGGCUUUUACGUCGGACCGGGAAUGACAAUAUUUGUGUUUUCAGGUAGCUGUGUAUUCCUGUUCGCAGACUCUCACAAAGCAGGGGAAAAGGAAGAGGGUCCAACGUGGAUAACAACAAGUUUACGAUAUCCAUUGUUAUGAAUAAAAUGUUAUUUUUCUCAAAUAUUUCUGAUAAGGACAGUUAA